rnacentral:rRNA from 1 species
CCUACGGGAGGCAGCAGUGAGGAAUAUUGGUCAAUGGACGAGAGUCUGAACCAGCCAAGUAGCGUGAAGGAUGACUGCCCUAUGGGUUGUAAACUUCUUUUAUAAAGGAAUAAAACGAGGCACGUGUGCCUUUUUGCAUGUACUUUAUGAUUAAGGAUCGGCUAACUCCGUGCCAGCAGCCGCGGUAAUCCGGAGGAUCCGAGCGUUAUCCGGAUUUAUUGGGUUUAACGGGAGCGUAGAUGGGUUGUUAAGUCAGUUGUGAAAGUUUGCGGCUCAACCGUAAAAUUGCAAUUGAUACUGGGAGUCUUGAGUACAGUUGAGGUAGGCGGAAUUCGUGGUGUAGCGGUGAAAUGCUUAGAUAUCACGAAGAACCCCGAUUGCGAAGGCAGCUUACUAAACUGUGACUGACAUUGAUGCUCGAAAGUGUGGGUAUCAAACAGGAUUAGAUACCCCUGUAGUC